UGCUAAAGCUGAGAAUACAAAAAGAAAGGCAAAAGACGGUCGUCGUCCUUGAGGAGUUCGCAAUCUAAAAGGGAAGACAACAUGCAAACAACUAUGUACAAACAGGCUUAUAUACAUGACAGACCGGAAAUAACAGAAGAACGGCACUAGAAUUAAGAAGUGCCUGGGAAAGGUGGGAUUUAGCUGAGACUUGAAGCCAGGCAAGCCAAGAGGCAGAGAUUGGGGGUGGACGGACAUUCCAGGGCACGGAAGACAGCCAAUGCAAAGGCACGGAGUCGGGAGAUGAAGAGCGGCGCUCGGAGCCUGGAGGUCAGUGUCAUUGGAUGGAAGUGGGGGCGGGGGGAGGGGACGUAAGGAGCGAAGUAGGAAAGGUGGGGAGGCGGGCUGGUUGUGAAGUGCUCCGAAAGCCAAGCUGAGGAUUUCAUAUCUGAUUCCGGACGUUAACAGGGAGCCGCCGGGAUCUACUGCGGAGGGGAGGUGACGCGGUUCUAGGUGACCUCCUCUGUGAAUCCCACCCACAGGCCCAGUUGUAGUUGCAUUUUCUCCACGGGAUACUCUCAUUAGGUUACGGUCCUUUGUGUAUCAUCAUUGAGCUGGACAAAGAAGAUAUAUCAAACGGACACAAUCAAGUGUUGCUUCAUGUUACCAUCUUUGAGAGUUAAAAAAUAAGACUGUCUCCUGCUUUGAGAGUCUAAAUUAGUAAGGGGAUGUGGAAAGCAGACAGAGUUCUGCCACAGGAUUCAAGGCAUACUUCCUCCUUAUGGGAUCCUCCAUCUCCAAGCCUGGUCUUGAAGUCUCCUACCAGCACAACUAUGAGAUACAGCCGCUACCCUCAGAGACUAUUCACUCCGGGCUUCCCUCCCAGCCUCAUCCCUUUUCACCCUACUCCCUGGGUUUUGCCCCGGGUAAAAAAAAUUCUAGUUAUGACUCUAGACUAGCGUAUGAAAAAGUAACAUAUUUUUACACUGGAUUUUUCAAGAGACCUUUUCCUAAAAGUGAGCCCAUAUAUCUUAUAUGCAAAUUUUCAAAAUAUUAGUAUUUAACUUUUUCUUAACAUGUAGAUUUUUUAAAAAGGAGGAAUAAAGCAUAAAUAAAUACAAUAAAGAACUGUGAUUUUACAUUGAAGACUUUCUACCCCAUUUACUACUGAUUCAGAUAUGUACAUUUUGAGAUUCCUGAUUAUACUUGGUAAUUUUCCUCUUUUAUCAAGGCUAUUCUUCAUUUGAAUAUAAAAGGGCUUUGGGAAGCACUAUCUCUUUUUUUCUCCUCUUUCAUCAAGAAAUGAGGGGAAAAUUUUCUUAACAAAGGUGACUACCCAAGUUCACUCUUUAACUGGACUUCUCAAAAAGGUCUCAAGACCCUAAGUUGUUUUUUUUUUCCUGUCUCUCUAGAGUCCUCAAGGCAGUUUAGAACAGAAUGACAACCUAAUGACCCUUUUGUCAUGCAGCAGUUUCCAGGUCUCUUUGGUUUUUGUUUUGCUUUGGAAAUUCAUUAUGUACAUGAAAGGGGAAAAGGAUCCUUUGGUUUCUAUCUCAUAUUUGAAUUCCUAGGUUGAUUGGGUCCAUUUGCAUCCAGAGCAAGGUAAAGAGCAAAGGCCUAAAUACCCAUAAGCUAAAUAAACCAGGUUUCUUGGUA